AUUGAACGCUGGCGGCAGGCCUAACACAUGCAAGUCGAGCGAGCGGCGGACGGGUGAGUAAUGUAUGGGGACUGCCCGAUAGAGGGGGAUAACUACUGGAAACGGUAGCUAAUACCGCAUACUAUCGGAUAACCCAUAUGGGAUUAGCUAGUAGGUGAGGUAAUGGCUCACCUAGGCGACGAUCCCUAGCUGGUCUGAGAGGAUGAUCAGCCACACGGGGACUGAGACACGGCCCAGACGCCGACGGAGGCAGCAGGGGGGAAUCUUGCACAAAGGGCGCAAGCAUGAUGCAGCCAUGCCGGGUGUAUGAAGAAGGCCCUAGGGUUGUAAAGUACUUUCAGGCGGGAGGCGUUACCGACAGAAGAAGCACCGGCUAAAUCCGUGCCAGCAGCCGCGGAAUUC
rnacentral:rRNA from 1 species